UUUCGUCGCGUCCCGGUGUGAAAGUCCAUCGCUUAACGGUGGAUCCGCGCCGGGUACGGGCGGGCUUGAGUGCGGUAGGGGAGACUGGAAUUCCCGGUGUAACGGUGGAAUGUGUAGAUAUCGGGAAGAACACCAAUGGCGAAGGCAGGUCUCUGGGCCGUUACUGACGCUGAGGAGCGAAAGCGUGGGGAGCGAACAGGAUUAGAUACCCUGGUAGUCCACGCCGUAAACGGUGGAUGCUGGAUGUGGGGCCCGUUCCACGGGUUCCGUGUCGGAGCUAACGCGUUAAGCAUCCCGCCUGGGGAGUACGGCCGCAAGGCUAAAACUCAAAGAAAUUGACGGGGGCCCGCACAAGCGGCGGAGCAUGCGGAUUAAUUCGAUGCAACGCGAAGAACCUUACCUGGGCUUGACAUGUUCCCGACGAUCCCAGAGAUGGGGUUUCCCUUCGGGGCGGGUUCACAGGUGGUGCAUGGUCGUCGUCAGCUCGUGUCGUGAGAUGUUGGGUUAAGUCCCGCAACGAGCGCAACCCUCGCCCCGUGUUGCCAGCGGAUUGUGCCGGGAACUCACGGGGGACCGCCGGGGUUAACUCGGAGGAAGGUGGGGAUGACGUCAGAUCAUCAUGCCCCUUACGUCCAGGGCUUCACGCAUGCUACAAUGGCCGGUACAACGGGAUGCGACAGUGCGAGCUGGAGCGGAUCCCUGAAAACCGGUCUCAGUUCGGAUCGCAGUCUGCAACUCGACUGCGUGAAGGCGGAGUCGCUAGUAAUCGCGAAUCAGCAACGUCGCGGUGAAUGCGUUCCCGG
rnacentral:rRNA from 1 species